AAUCUUCAGUCUGAGUACUGGAAACAACUUCUGGCUUAUCACUUGGGAUACCGUGAAUGUUUUAUGCUUACAUGCGUAUGUUUGAAUUUUUCAAUUGCGUAAUGCUCCAUGAAAAUGGAAAUGCUACGCGGUUUGGGAGGAUGCAAUGCAAUAUGAUUCUACAUGCAGGGAUGCGAAAUGCUGGGUAGAAUGCCAAGCCGAGGCAAGGGAAUCUGCUGGGGAAAUGAUCACCAUCUUCUGGACCCUGGCAAGGCUGUUGGAAAUGCAC
rnacentral:lncRNA from 1 species